UGGGAGGCUGAUACGCAAUUGGAGCCAAGUCUACUCCAGUUGUCGCUUAUUUCUCCCUAGAGUAAAAUGAGCCUUCUGAUGACCGAGUCGAAUUGAGAGAAAUUGGAGCGGACAGAUACGAGGCUAACAUUA
ensembl:scaRNA SCARNA8 small Cajal body-specific RNA 8